UACGUAGGGUGCGAGCGUUGUCCGGAAUUAUUGGGCGUAAAGAGCUUGUAGGCGGUUUGUCGCGUCUGCUGUGAAAAUCCGGGGCUCAACCCCGGACUUGCAGUGGGUACGGGCAGACUAGAGUGCGGUAGGGGUGACUGGAAUUCCUGGUGUAGCGGUGAAAUGCGCAGAUAUCAGGAGGAACACCGGUGGCGAAGGCGGGUCUCUGGGCCGAAACUGACGCUGAGGAGCGAAAGCGUGGGGAGCAAACAGG
rnacentral:rRNA from 1 species